UACGUAGGGCGCAAGCGUUGUCCGGAAUUAUUGGGCGUAAAGAGCUCGUAGGUGGUUUGUUACGUCUGCUGUGAAAACCUAGGGCUUAACCCUGGGCCUGCAGUGGAUACGGGCAGACUAGAGGUAGGUAGGGGAGAAUGGAAUUCCCGGUGUAGCGGUGAAAUGCGCAGAUAUCGGGAGGAACACCGGUGGCGAAGGCGGUUCUCUGGGCCUUACCUGACACUGAGGAGCGAAAGCGUGGGGA
rnacentral:rRNA from 1 species